rnacentral:lncRNA from 1 species
GAAAUCCAAACGCGCAAACGCCAAAAAAAAAUGGGCUCAAAUCUCAAUGAUUUGUACUUAUUAAAUUGCAUUGAAUCCUCCAAUAUCAGGUUAAUAAGGCAAACUGGGACUUACAAAUUCAAACGGACCAACUGAAGCUUUUAACAAAGUAAACCAGACAUCUUUAGAUUUAAGAGUGAGAGCUUGAAUUUUAUGUUUGCAAAGGUCCUCAUUAACUACCCCAUUUUAGCAUUACUCAAUGAAUAAAUGGAAUACUAGGCAUAUGAACCUAACCUGCAUCCUUAUCUUACAUUAAUUCAGCUAAAGAUUUUAACCAGACACUUAAACAAGCUGAGAACAAAACUACGACCCAUUUCUGUUCAUGACUCUUGCUUAAUAAUUUAAGCAACUCGAUUUUAAUUAUAUUUUAUAUGGCAACUUAACUUUAACUACCACAGUGCAUAAUAACGAAGCUGCGCUGGAUAUAAUACAUGAAUGAACAUCCAUCAAACUGUCCAGGUUUAAUUACAAAUACUAGUUAGCAAAUAUACACCUUAAUGCAAUUUAAAGUAUAACUAAACAACAUCUCAAACUGGACCCUCAAAUGAACAUUUAUUCCAUAUUUUGAGCUCAAAUUCACAUCAGAUGUACGAAUGUAUACCUGAAGACACAAAUGAAUAAGGAAUAUGAGUGAUCGGCAAGUAAUGUUUGAUGUCCAGCAAUGAAAUAGCAGCAACGAUCAAAAGAAAGCAACAGCAGCCCAAAUGCAGAGUAAAUGAUUUAAAAUGUUCAACCAAGUUGAAAAACCCAACAGAUCAACCCAGAAAACCAACGUUAACAACCAGAACCCAGCAAAACUACCAAACUCUCGAAAUAUAAUAGACCAUCUUGAAAUUAAAACCCAAACAAUGAAGAUCAACAAAUCCCAGUUGAAAUCAUCUUCCAUGGCAAUGAAACAGUGAUUUUUGUUUUGUUUUUGAAUGUUUUUGUAAUUUUUUUUUAGUUUUUGAAAUCAAUUGCUAAUUGAAAACUUUAGGGAAAAAGGAAAAGAGCUUUUUGGUUGAAUUUUUGAGCUGAAAACUUUAAGCCCCCUUUACAAGGCAAAUGAAAUCCUUUUAUAGACCAACAAGAGUGAAAAAAUCAGCAUUUUUGCUUCUUUUUUAGUCCCUCUUUUUUU